AUWYAGGGUCCCCAAAUACGGCCCUGUUUUYCCCGCAGGCCCCCSYURAGGGGGKGRURRAUAUYUUSYRMWRRRACCCUUAGAGUUUGAUCCUGGCUCARAACGAACGCUSGYGGCGUGCUUAACACAUGCAAGUCGAACGUGAUCCGGAGCUUGCUCCGGUGAAAGUGGCGCACGGGUGAGUAACGCGUGGAUAAUCUGCCCUGGUAUCUGGGAUAACAUCUCGAAAGGGGUGCUAAUACCGGAUAAGCCUACGGACUCUUCGGAGUCUGCAGGAAAAGGUGGCCUCUAUUUAUAAGCUACCGUAUCAGGAUGAGUCCGCGUACCAUUAGCUAGUUGGUGGGGUAAUGGCCCACCAAGGCUACGAUGGUUAGCUGGUCUGAGAGGAUGAUCAGCCACACUGGAACUGAGACACGGUCCAGACUCCUACGGGAGGCAGCAGUGGGGAAUUUUGCGCAAUGGGGGAAACCCUGACGCAGCAACGCCGCGUGAGUGAUGAAGGCUUUCGGGUCGUAAAGCUCUGUCAGAGGGGAAGAAAUGAGACUGGCUAAUAUCCAGUUUUCUUGACGGUACCCUCAAAGGAAGCACCGGCUAACUCCGUGCCAGCAGYCGCGGUAAUAC
rnacentral:rRNA from 1 species